UAAUCUCAGGAAUUCUCUUUACAUGUGAUAACUCUUCAUAUUUGGGAAAGAAAAGAUUGGCUAUUAAUAAACAUGCUAAGAAAGACAAGUGAAGCAAGCAAGCAAGCUUAAAACAAAAGCUCACUGCAGCCGGUCUUUGAGAGAGACAAUAAAUGACAGGCCCAAUGUUUGUGGCCACCUAUUAGGAAGGUAAAAAUUUGCAAUAACUUUUAUAAAUACUUACUACCUUAUACAGGGACUAAUCUUUUUUCCAAUAAAAUGUCUUUUAAGUUGACCCUGAACAAGCACUACCCACAGUACCAUAAACUCUUAAAUUGAUAAAAUAAUAUGCAUGCACACACACACAUCUAUAUGUGUAUAUAUAAAACCAUCACCUUUUAAUAAUGACAUUAUCUGCAAUGUCAGUGUAAGAGGAGGUAUCAUAGCCUCAGGGAGAAUAGAGCCCAUGGAUUCUUUACAUCUACAAGUAGCAAAGGCUAUCACUCAGUUAACUGGUUUCUAAACUUGGAAUACUGGUGUGACAAAUUCUACAGGACUGCUGACAAGAACUCACACACCACCUUGGAGCCACAGAAAUGCUUGCCUAUUGCCACAGCAGGGCCCCCAUCAUGGUGACAGAUGCAGACACAUCUAGUUCCUACAGAUUCAGGUUUUUUUUUUUUUGUUUUUUUUUUUUGAAGGUCUCAACAAUUGCUACCAAAGAAAACUGUAGCAGCCCUGGCUGUGGAAGACCUGUGGUUGCUUUUGACCUUGUAUCUCUUAGUGCAAAUACUCACUUAAUAAAUAUUUAAUAAUAACCAUCAUGACUCACUGGGAGCUCGGCCUCCAGGGCUCAGGAGGUCUGUUGCUAAUUCCAACCAGCAUGAUUUACGGGAAGUAAAUGAUCUAUGACGUGCCCAAAGAGAAUAAAAGUACAUACAGGAUGCUUCUACUUAGGGCUUUUUUGGGAGAGAAAGAAAUAUGCAAGUUAAAAAGGGACAACAUUUUCUCUUGAGUUAAAGUCUACGUAACUUAAAGAGGGGAGGUUCUCCAAACCCCACGAAGUCAAACCAAACCAAAUUACCCGAGCUUUGCUGCGCAAUCUGAGUGUAACCACAUCAAGUGAGCCCAGUCUGCUGCAAAACAUCACUUAAACUGGAGCUCUGACUUAUUGUUCUCUUACUGCCCUAGAGCAAUUUUGUUUUGAAGAGCACAGAACACCCUGUUCUGAAUGUGGCUGGCACAUGAACUCGAUGUGCUGACAGCAAUUUGUACUCCGAUUAAAAUGGGGGGAAAAGGAAAGAGAGUGCACUGCAGUAAGGGAAAAAAAAAAAACAACUGGAAUGCAAGAAACCAAAAGCUGUAUAAUUUGUAUUUUAGGAAGCAAAACUGAGAGAGGUUCCAUAACCUUAAAAAAAAAAAAAAGUGCUGUAAAUGCUCCAGCCUAAAAGACAUUAGCUCUGGGUCUUCUAUAUAUAGUAACAUGUCGACCAAUGGAACAGAAUAGAGAGCCCAGAAAUGAAACCACAAACUUUUGGUCAACUAAUCUUUGACAAAGGAGGCAAGAAUAUACAAUGGAAUACAGACAGUCUCUUCAGCAAAUGGUGUUGGGAAAACUGGACAGCAGCAUGUAAAACAGUGAAGCUAGAACACUCCCUUACACCAUACACAAAAAUCAACUCAAGACGGAUCAAAGACUUAAACAUAAGACAAGAUACAAUAAACCUUCUAGAGGAAAAUAUAGGCAAAACAUUAUCUGACAUUCAUCUCAGAAAUUUUCUCCUAGAAGAAAUAAAAGCAAGAAUAAACAAAUGGGACCUAAUGAAACUUACAAGCUUCUGCACAGCAAAGGAAACCAUAAGUAAAACAAAAAGACAACCUACGGAAUAGGAAAAAAUUUUUGCAAAUGAAACCGACAAAGGCUUGAUCUCCAGAAUAUAUAAGCAGCUCAUACGACUCAAUAAGAAAAAAAAUAACCCAAUCCAAAAAUGGGCAGAAGACCUAAACAAGCAGUUUUCCAAGGAAGACAUACAAAUGAUCAAUAAGCACAUGAAAAAAUGCUCAAUAUCACUAAUUAUCAGAGAAAUGCAAAUCAAAACUACAAUGAGGUAUCACCUCACACCAGUCAGAAUGGCCAUCAUUCAAAAAUCCACAAAUGACAAAUGCCGGAGAGGCUGUGGAGAAAAAGGAACCCUCCUUCACUGCUGGUAGGAAUGCAGUUUGGUGCAGCCACUGUGGAAAACAGUAUGGAGAUUCCUCAAAAGACUAAGAACAGACUUACCAUAUGACCCAGGAAUCCUGUUCCUGGGCAUAUAUCCAGAAGGAACUCUACUUCAGGAUGACACCUGCACCCCAACGUUCAUAGCAGCAUUAUUUACAAUAGCCAAGACAUGGAGACAGCCUAAAUGUCCAUCAACAGAUGACUGGAUAAAGAAGAUGUGGUAUAUUUAUGCAAUGGAAUACUACUCAGCCAUAAAAACCGACAACAUAACGCCAUUUGCGGCAACAUGGAUGCUCCUGGAGAAUGUCAUUCUAAGUAAGCCAGAAAGAGAAAGAAAAAUACCAUAUGAGAUCGCUCAUAUGUGGAAUCUAAACAAAACAAAACAAAACAAAAACAAACAAACAAACAAAGCAUAAAUACAAAACAGAAAUAGACUCACAGACAUAGAAUAUAAACUUGUGGUUGCCAAGGGGGUAGAGGGUGGGAAGAGAUAGACUGGGAUUUCAAAAUUGUAGAAUAGAUAAACAAGAUUAUACUGUAUAGCACAGGGAAAUAUAUACAAGAUCUUAUGGUAGCUCACAGAGAAAACAGUGUGACAAUGAAUAUAUAUAUAUAUAUGUUCAUGUAUAACUGAAAAAUUGUGCUCUACACUGGAAAUUUGACACAACAUUGUAAAAUGAUUAUAAAUAAAUAAAAAAUGUUUAAAAAAAAGAAGAUAUAUAAGUAAUUUGAAGACUGUUAUUAAAGACAAAGACAAACUGAACACUGUGUUCUAGGUCAGCCCCAGUAGAGCCAAAAGGAUUUGCUGGUGAACUGGAUGUAGAAUGUAAGAGAAGUCAAGGAUUUAUUUCCUUUAAAUCUAUUUAAAGGAAGCAAAACAAAAGAUAUAAACAUAAUACAGAAGGUUAAAAAAAAAAGAAAUUAAUUGUCUACCAUGUACUAGGCACCUUUCUUCAUUUAACUGUCACAACAAUCUGGGGGGGUAAAAGAUUAUUAUUACCAUUUUACAGAUGACGAAACUGGAUGCUCAAGGUGAUUAAGUGCCUUGUCUAAAGCAAUAGAAAAAUCAAGUAGUGAUUCCAAGAUUCAAAGCUCACGUCUAUCACUUCCAAAGCCUAUGUGUCCCCUCCCCUGACUACUCACUGCACCUUUAUACAGAAGUGACAGAAACUUGGUGACUCUUGUGUAUCUAUAAUUACGUUAUAAUGGAUGAUCACUGUGUUUAGUUCUCUUUCACUGUAGGACUGGCUUUAGUUCUAGGAUUUCUACCUGGUUUUGAAUCUAAGUCUAAGGGUGAUACUACAAAAAAAGGCAAACCGGUAAAGACUGAGAAGACUUCAAAGAACAAGGUGACCUUGGCUUCUGGCAGGGUCCACUUUUAAGUCCACCUUCUGCCCUCCACCCACACAUAGCCAACUGGUUUCAAAGAGGGAAAGCAGGACACCUUAACCUUGAUAACUGACAAUACAAUACAUUUUUAUAAAACUGAUUUGUUCCAAAAAACCAAAAAGGGCUUUUGGGAGAAGAAGUAAAAAUAAGCCAUUUACUCUAAAAUUUCCCAGAGAAGUACAAUCUAACAAGAUGAGAGACGAAAAAAAUCAGUCAUUGCCCUUUCUUAUUUCAAAACAGAAAAACUAAAAUUAUAUAAAGGAUUAUUCAAAUACAUUUAAAAAAUUCCAUUCAUAGUGUGUUUUCUUCAUGCAAAAAGGAAGAGGAUAUAAGAAAAAAUACAUGUAUCUGUUCAUUUCUUAAAAAAAAAAAAAAAAAAAAAAAGAAGAAA